rnacentral:tRNA from 1 species
GGGCCAUUAACUCAGUUGGUUUAGAGUGUUACCUUGACAGGGUAGAAGUCACUGGUUCGAGUCCAGUAUGGCCCAC